AGCCCCACCACUGCAACACCUCCUAUGCUUAGCCAGGGAGAUUGUCUCUAUUAUAUGGAAACAAGGAGGAUGAAGACAUACUAACUCUGAAAAAGGGAUUUGAAGAGCUGGAGGCUGACACGGAGAACACCUCAAGGUUAUCAAACUGCCUCACUGGUGUAAAGCAGUUCUCUCUCCAAAGGAUGAACUGGAAACUACAACACAUGACAAUGAGUUGCCUGGUAGAAUUAUAACAACAACAACAACAAAAACACAC